GACGAACGCUGGCGGCGUGCCUAAUACAUGCAAGUCGAACGCAGUGGGGACGGGUGAGUAACACGUGGGUAACCUCCCAUCAGAGGGGAUAACACUUGGAAAAAGGUGCUAAACCGAUACUGAUGGAUGGAACCGCGGUGCAUUAGCUAGUUGGUGAGGUCACGGCGCACCAAGGCCACGAUGCAUAGCCGGCCGGAGAGGUUGAUCGGCCACACUGGAUCGUAGACACGGCCCAGACGCCGACGGGAGGCAGCAGUAGGGAAUCUUCGGCAAUGGACGAAAGUCUGACCGAGCAACGCCGCGUGAGUGAAGAAGGUUUUCGGAUCGUAAAACUCUGUUGUGAGAGAAGCGGUAUCUGACCAGAAAGCCACGGCUAACUACGUGCCAGCAGCCGCGGUAAUUC
rnacentral:rRNA from 1 species